rnacentral:rRNA from 1 species
AUUGAACGCUGGCGGCAGGCCUAACACAUGCAAGUCGGGCGAGCGGGGGAUGGGAGAGAAAUGUAUGGGGAUCGGCCUGAUGGAGGGGGAUAACUACUGGAAACGGUAGCUAAUACCGCAUACUAUCAGAUGAACCCAUAUGGGAUUAGCUUGUAGGUGAGGUAACGGCUCACCUGUGCGACGAUCCCUAGCGGAUCUGAGAGGAUGACCAGCCACACGGGGACUGAGACCCGCCCCAGACUCCUACGGGAGGCAGCAGUGGGGAAUAUUGCACAAUGGGCGCAAGCCUGAUGCAGCCAUGCCGCGUGUAUGAAGAAGGCCUUCGGGUUGGAAAGUACUUUCAGUCGGGAGGCGUUACCGACCGAGGAAGCGCCGGCUAACUCCGUGCCAGCAGCCGCGGUAAUUC